GCGGCCGGGCACUGCCUGCGUGGUCGAGCUGGCUGCCCCCUCAGCCGCCUGCCUUUGUGCCUCCAGCCUCCUUGGCUCCCUGAGUGCCUCACUUUGCCUUCUCCCCUGUUUCUCCCACCUCUGAGGCCGAGUAGCAGAAGUCAGAAGCUGGUGUCCAAGAGCCCCAAGAAGCAUGGUUAUGUCCCCUGAAGCCCUGGUCCACAUGAAGCUCUUCCUGCUUUUCUUCAGAGGAAGAUGCAGGAGCUGGUUAAUGGAAUGGAUUUUGCAUUCAGACAUCUCUUGGGGCUGCCUGUAGGUGGAUAUGUUCAUGGAAGACGGUGAAAAAGACAAGAAUAGGAUUUGCUGUAUAGAAUCACUAUAGUCACCAUCACACUGAGUAUCAACAACAUCUCUUGUUAUCCUCACAACUGUGCAAAACAGAUAUCCGACAGAGAGAAAGAGAAUGUGAUUGACUCUUAACUAGAGUCACGCACCACUCUGGAUCAAUCAUCUGAGGCCUGGGAGAAGUGUCAUAACACAGGCAAACGAAGAGGAUAAAUAAAGAAUGAGUGUCCCCCAGACCAUCUGGAAACCCCACCUGUGCAUCUUAAAUAAGGAAGGACCAAGCAGAUAUCAGAAAGAGGGAUGUUGGGGGAACAAGAAACUAACCAGCCUGCAGGAGUCGCUGGAGGCCAAAGACAAAUAUUUUCGCCGAGGAGAAUUUGGAAAAUUUCGCAGUAUAUAAAAAAAGAAAAUUAAAAGUCUCCAUCAUACCAUCUAUCAGCAA
rnacentral:lncRNA from 10 species